CUUGGCUGAUCGGCAGGAGUUGGGCAGCUAAGCUACUGAGAGAGGCUGGCAAGGACAGACGUGCUGUUUUUUCUCUUGGAGCCUGCCCACCAUUUAAUUCAAGAUGCUUUAAUUGAACACCUACUCCAUGCCAGGCACACGGGGAAAUCAGAUGCAGUUUUGACACCAUCCUUACUCCUUAGUAGCUUAGAAUUCAGCAGAAAAUGAAGGCAGAAGUAUGUGUUGUCCUGAGUUUCUACUUUGGCCCUGAGAAGUUACCAUAGAAGCGUAAAGAAGGAAGAGACUUUCCAACCAGGGACAGCCCUACCAAGGCUUAGUUCAGAGGUCAUUUGGUGAGGACCUACUAUGUGCAGAAGACUCCCUAGACACCUCUCUGAGGUACAGGAUUAUUAUCACCUCUAUUUUACAGACGAAGAGACUGGGGUUCUGAAAUGUUAAAUAACUUCCUAAAAUUAUAUCACCAGGAAGAGGUACAAACAGGAAGAGAUUUCCAGUCAAAGCAUAUACUUUUUCCAGGAAACUAGACCACCUACUCCUUAGAGAAGGCUGAAUUUGUCCUGAGCUUGAAGUAAGACUGACAUUUGGUCAGGCAGCUCUGAGGUGGAGGGCUUUCCUUCUGUUUCUGCACCCAGACAGGUGCAAACUGGCUGCCCUGAGACACAGUCACUGUCCUCCCACGGGGGUGCUGACAAAGCCUGAAAGCAUGCUUCGGAGGAGGCAUCCACUCCAGAUCCUCUCUCAGCCUCCAUCUGUGAUUCAGCCCUAAAAAAAUAACCUCGCUGCCAAUCCAGAUAGUCCUGGCUGCCCACUGAAACCAACAUCUCAGAUGGAUUUAGCACCUUCUGGAAGCCAUUCCUCAGUCAUGCACCAUUAAUAACCCGUUCAGCUAUCUAACUGGCCCGAGCACAAACACACCCCUUAUGUCACCCCGAGCUCUAUCUGGUUUAGGUGAAAAUCAUCAGCAGACAAAACAAUCAGAUCAGAUGUUAAUACAGAAUUUUACAUGGUUGGAUAAGGCUGCUAGUUACCUGAACUUGCUGUUCAGUCUUCUCAUGCUCACUGAGAAAGGGCCUUCCUGGUGAUGAAAUACACAGUGCUGCCCCUUCACCUGCAUACUGAAGUCAUCUGUGGAGCUCGAACAGCUGCUACUGUCUGGGAUCCACCCCCACUGACUAUGCUGCCGAAUGGCCUGGUGUGCAGCUUGGCCUAGCGACAGUUAAAAAGUGCCCCCAGUUGGGCCGGGGAUUUAGCUCAGUGGUUUUGCCGCCUGCUGUGCAAGUGCAAAGACCUGAGUUCAAUCCCCGGUACCAAAAAAAAAAAAGUGCCCCCAGCUGAUUCUACCAGUGACCAGGAUGGACCAUAGCACCCAAAGGACCACCAUAAACUGUCUUGGCCCAGCAAAAUGUUUCCUAAUCAAGCCUUUCUGGUUUUUCUCUAGCUAAAGAAAUUUUGAAGGAUAGAGAAACAAGUUAAAUGACACUGUAAGGAAAUAGCCAGCCAAAUGCAGAGUGUGAUGUAUUCUUCCUGAAACAAUCUCAUUUCAUUUUUUCUAAUUAUCCAAUAGCUUUUAAAACAAAUCACUUCUGCACAUCUGCAGAAACUUGAUUCUGAACUGGAUAUUAGAUGCCACCAAAGAGUUCAUGAUCGUUAGGUGUGUGGUGACAUUAUGAUUAUGUAGGCAAUGUUUUAAAAGCCAUGUUUUUAGAUGUAAAAGGAUGAAAUGGUAGAAGGGCUAGGAUUUGUUUUGAAACACUUCAGCUAUAAAUCAAAUAGAUGAAGCCAGCACAACAAUACUUUGGAGUUAAUUGUUAAAUGUGAGUGAUGGGUAUAUGGAUGUUUGUUAUGUGAGCCGUUAAUUUUCUUUAUGUUUGACAUUUUAUAAUAAAG
ensembl:lncRNA